rnacentral:rRNA from 1 species
GAUGAACGCUGGCGGCGUGCCUAAUACAUGCAAGUCGAGCGAACGGACGAGAAGCUUGCUUCUCUGAUGUUAGCGGCGGACGGGUGAGUAACACGUGGAUAACCUACCUAUAAGACUGGGAUAACUUCGGGAAACCGGAGCUAAUACCGGAUAAUAUUUUGAACCGCAUGGUUCAAAAGUGAAAGACGGUCUUGCUGUCACUUAUAGAUGGAUCCGCGCUGCAUUAGCUAGUUGGUAAGGUAACGGCUUACCAAGGCAACGAUGCAUAGCCGACCUGAGAGGGUGAUCGGCCGCACUGGAACUGAGACACGGUCCAGACUCCUACGGGAGGCAGCAGUAGGGAAUCUUCCGCAAUGGGCGAAAGCCUGACGGAGCGACGCCGCGUGAGUGAUGAAGGUCUUCGGAUCGUAAAACUCUGUUAUUAGGGAAGAACAUAUGUGUAAGUAACUGUGCACAUCUUGACGGUACCUAAUCAGAAAGCCACGGCUAACUACGUG